UUAAUUAUCCACCUUCUCCAUUACCUCUGUCAUUAUUGUUCAUUAUUUACGUCCAUCCCACACCACAUUGUACCAUCUCUCAAUAAAUAACCUCUCCCCCCAAAGUCAACAUUCCCUGCCCAAAAGGCUGCUUCAACAGGCAUAAAUGCUCCUGAACCAUCAAUAUCGUCCACCAGCUGUCCCAACACGCUUGCUUCCUCCAAUUAUAAACCCCCCUACACAUAUCUGCACAAAUGUAUUCCAUCCCAACCAGACACCCAAUCCGUCCACCCACGCCAUAGGCUUCACCACGCAUAGCAAGACCUACUUUUAUCUAAAGAUUUCAUAUCUUCAUCAUUUAACCAAGGAUGUCAUAUUCACGCCCUAGUUCAUCACGCUUGAUCGAAGAGGUGCUAGAUGCAGCUGACCAACUCGAUGACAGCUCAGAUUCUCAUCCGGGAGGUUUAGCACCAACUUCACGCACGUCCGUAACAAAGGUGUCAUCUGAUAUUGGUAUACUUCUAAGACGCAACAAUGCCAUUGUAACUAGAGAAGCCACAUCAUUGCGGAGUUCCAUUCUACGCGAGAACACGGCAUUUCUUGACAAACUAAUGUCCCUUCUAUCUGCAAGUUGUAUUUGUUGUAGCAUUCGGUCUCUUCCAUGUAUAAUGCAGAGUUCGCCUCCUAUGAGCACAACUCAUCAAAAUUUAGCUUUAAGUGGUCGUAAAUUGGACAUGU